rnacentral:rRNA from 1 species
AGUGAACGCUGGCGGUAGGCCUAACACAUGCAAGUCGAACGGCAGCACAGUAAGAGCUUGCUCUUACGGGUGGCGAGUGGCGGACGGGUGAGGAAUACAUCGGAAUCUACUUUUUCGUGGGGGAUAACGUAGGGAAACUUACGCUAAUACCGCAUACGACCUACGGGUGAAAGCAGGGGAUCUUCGGACCUUGCGCGAUUGAAUGAGCCGAUGUCGGAUUAGCUAGUUGGCGGGGUAAAGGCCCACAAAGGCGACGAUCCGUAGCUGGUCUGAGAGGAUGAUCAGCCACACUGGAACUGAGACACGGUCCAGCCUCCUACGGGAGGAAGCAGUGGGGAAUAUUGGACAAUGGGCGAAGGCCUGAUCCAGCCAUACCGCGUGGGUGAAGAAGGCCUUCGGGUUGUAAAGCCCUUUUGUUGGGAAAGAAAAGCAGCAGGUUAAUACCCCGCUGUUCUGACGGUACCCAAAGAAUAAGCACCGGCUAACUUCGUG